CGCCGCCUCAUGGUGAGAUUAUUGAUGACAGCCAUAAAGACGGUGAUGUGGAAAAGCAUGUCUUGGCAAGAUUGAGAGAAUUCCUUCAUGGCGUUCAAGGCCUUCUUUGAUGGUGGUGCUAAGAUCUUUUGAUCUAUCGAUGAGCUUCUUCCGCUUUGUCGCAGGUUCGAUGGUUAGGCACCCUUUCAAGGCACUUUUGUGUAUCCAGAGACGGUUGCGGUUUUGAGGAAAUUUAUGGAUCGAUAUGGGAGUUUCAUGGAGGUCACGGGGGUCAUCUCCUCCUCCUCGAGAAGUGCCGCCUUCCGGGCUCUUGGCUUGGUACUUCAUGGGAUAGAUACCAUGGAGCUCCUUGAUAUUACUGAUCACAAACUACUUUGUUGGCGGACGCGAUAUGUGAGGCCAUAACUCUGGGCUUUCAUGUGGACUUCCUCAUUAAUCUCGUGAGGAACCUAGCAUGUGCUGUCUUUGGAGAGCGGGCCAUUCAUAGCAUGAAAUUAUCACAUGGUUCCAGUGAGGUGAAAGCUGCUGCCGACAUUUUGAACAUUAAGCAACAGGAAUUGGACAGCCAGCGCAGGGAAGUGCAUGCCCUUCUCCUUGCUAAGGGUAUUUCUGCCGACAAUGAUGAGUGUGUGACAGAGGCAAUAGUCAGAUCAUCUCCUAGGGCUUCUUUCGUUCUUUUUGGGCAUUCUUCAUAGCUUCAAGGUUGUCUCCUCUUGGCUUGGUGAUCGAUUAUCUUGGCACAUGGUUCUGUUCCCUUGGAGACCAUAGGCUGCAUGGAUCUUUAGCAUGUGCAGUUUUAUCUUGCUUUGACUGUAGUUUUUUUUUUCUUUUUCUUUUGGACACUUUAACGACCAUGUCGUUAUAACUUUGUAAUGUAGUGUUGAAUCACUGGAGCUUGUAUUAAUUUCUGAAUGCUUGAGGCAUGUUGUAAUCUGCAUGUCUUAUAUAUA